CGGAAAGUACCAAGGAUAAAAUUAUAAAAGAGCGAAUGAUGGUGCUUGGAUCGUAUCCCACCAACGUUAAUCUAAACUUUGAUAUUUGCCUGAUUAAAUUGCAAGUUACAGCAAUCGAGUUUUUAUCCAAGCAUCAGCAACGGAAGAUUAAAUCGGGGACAAGAGAAGAGAAUUUAGUAUCGAGAAGAAGGGAAAGGAAAAAAACCUAAAUUGUCAAUUAUCGGAUCAUUAGUGUGAACAGAUCUUUAAUAAAUUUGGAGUUCUUGACUGAAAAAAAUGUUGUUGUUGGUGUUGGUGAUGGUGAUGGGUUUGAUUGGCAGUUAAGAGGUUGAUGUAAUUGGUGAUGCCAGUAGAGAGAUUAAAUGUGCUGAUGGUACUUAGAGGAUAAAUAGUCAAUCUUUCGGUCCUAAAACCAUUUCAAAUUGAACAAUCAAUGGGCAAGAAGAUGUGAACCUCUCAGGUCGAGAGCUGCAAAGACUCGUACUAUGUCUUUGCUUUGGGAAGCCCACGGAUGAUAGUUAAGCCAAGUGAUUACCUUGAUUCAGAGCAAUGUAUUGUUGCCUCAAAAGUCAUAAGAAGUUUUCCCUCCACGCUAAGAAGACUAUUUUUAUUGUUGAGCAUGAUUUUAUAAAGGCGACUUCUUGCUGAUAGAGCAACGUUCUUCUAUUCACUGUACUGCAUCUGCUCGGUCUCUGUUGACAGGGAGGGAUUUCCUAUCUGUAAGUUUGGAGUUCUAGCAUGUAAGUUACACUUCUAGCAUAUUUCAUACAUAUUGUUUCUGAGUUGCAGAAUAUUUUUUCAGUUUCUCAAACUUAUUAUAAUGGUCACCAGUAAGAGAGCUUGACUGAACCAACUAUUUUGUGUAAGUGCAUAUUUAUGAUUGAAAAAUGACUGAAUGAAAAGAUCGGUUGAAACAUAG